rnacentral:lncRNA from 1 species
GGAAGGAAAAGACAGAAAAGUGAGAAGCGGCAUCAAGGGAUAAAUGGUAAGGGAUUUUGCUUUACCCUUUUUUUAAGUAAAUAAUAAUAUAUGUGCUUAACAUUGCGUGGCCAGCAGUCCAAUCAUAUUACUGAGGUUAAAUUCGAUGGUUAUAGAAUGUGGCUACAUCCAGGCAAUACCCCAAUGCAUAGAAGGUACUGAAAUCAAUGGCUCCAUGCUUUUCCGUGAAUCUGAAUUCAAACAGCCCCAUGCAGGAAAAAGGUCAAAAGUACUAGAAGAAAAUCAUGGGUUUACAUCACUUGUUUUGAGUUCCCACGUUGUAGUUUGAAAGCUUGACGCUGUCGGUAGAACUUAACCAUGAUUUUUCUAUUAUGGCAAAUGCAGCUGUUAGGCUGCAUCAUCGCCAUCAAGCUGCAUUACCUAGAAUCAAAAGGGUAAUCUUUUACUCUUUCAUUUGAUGUUUCCAUUUCAACUUGAAGCCAUAGAAUUGCUAUAUAGACGACAUCAUGUUCAGUUUGAUAGUAAUACCUUGUAAUAAAAAAAAG